AUGAAAGGGAAUACUGUACAGUGGCGUUUAACCGGCUUUUAUGGGCACCCCAACUCGAGUGACCGUGCUUUGUCAUGGGCUGAUAUUCGAAAUUUGUAUGAGAAGGGCGAUCACCCAUGGGUAGUUUUAGGAGAUUUUAAUGAAAUUUUGUUAUCAUCAGAGAAAGAGGGAGGGAAUGUGAGACCAAAUGUGAUGAUGAGAGAUUUCCAUAAUUGUCUGGGAGAAUGUGGACUAGCAGAUAUGGGCUGUAUGGGUGACUUAUUUACAUGGAGGAGGGGCGAAAUCAGGGAAAGACUAGAUCGAGCGGUCUGUAAUGUGGAUUGGGCGAAUAAAUUCCCUCGAGCGGCGGUUAUUAACGAAGAACAUGUACACUCAGACCAUCGCCCUAUUAUUUUAGACACGGAAUAUUUUGACGAUAAUAUUUUUGACCCCUCAAAAAGUCGAAGGAAACAUUUUGAAGCUCGAUGGCUGAAAGAAGAUACGGUUACAGAAAUUGUACGUACAGCUUGGGAAAAAGAGAAGAUGUUGGGCAUAGGGCCGUCUCUCGCUGAUCGUACAAGAGCGGUACAUGCAGAUUUGCAUACUUGGGAUCGUGAUAUCCUUAAGGGUCCGAAAAAAGAAUCAACGUGGCUUAAAGUAUUAGCUAGCAUGACUCCCUACGAUCGAGAAGGUGAAUGA
rnacentral:rRNA from 1 species